CCUACGGGAGGCAGCAGUCGGGAAUCUUCCACAAUGGGCGAACGCCUGAUGGAGCACCGCCGCGUGGGUGAAGAAGGUCUUCGGAUCGUAAAACCCUGUUGUCAGAGACGCGAGUGCGUGAGAGUCACUGUUCACGUUUCGACGGUAUCUAACCAGAAAGCCACGGCUAACUACGUGCCAGCAGCCGCGGUAAUACGUAGGUGGCAAGCGUUCUCCGGAUUGAUUGGGCGUAAAGGGAACGCAGGCGGUCUUUUAAGUCUGAUGUGAAAGCCUUCGGCUUAACCGGAGUAGUGCAUUGGAAACUGUGAGACUUGAGUGCAGAAGAGGAGAGUGGAACUACAUGUGUAGCGGUGAAAUGCGUAGAUAUAUGGAAGAACACCAGUGGCGAAAGCGGCUCUCUGGUCUGUAACUGACGCUGAGGUUCGAAAGCGUGGGUAGCAAACAGGAUUAGAGACCCUUGUAGUC
rnacentral:rRNA from 1 species